UUGGGGCCACCCCUCCCCUUAACCCUUUACAAUAGCUGCGAGGCCUCCCAGGGUUCAAGUGCAGCCCCAAAGGACAGUGCUAUUUUGAAGAGUCCAAUCUUGCAAGCAUGGGGCAAAUGUACACCAAGAAUGGAAUCAGUGUGGACAAUCACUUGAAGAAGAACUACCUUAUUUAUUUCUCUGACGUUUGGAUUCCCUGAAGUUACCUUGGCAAUAUUCUCUGAGGGAAGACUGAGUCCUACAUCCUCCUUUGCCAUUAACUUUUGCAAAAUAACCUCUGUGUAGCUGAAUUUAUACCCAUAUUAAAAUGCAAAUUGCUGGACCAACUGAAGCCAGGCAGGAACAGAUUUAUCAAGAUAACUCAAAAGUAGAUUCUUUACCCCACUGGCAUCUAUCAUCCAGGAUCACUUUGAAAUAAAAGAGGAAGAUGAAGAUAAGGAUGUAAACAAAUCCGGACCUUCUACCAUGGUGCCUGGUGGAAUGGAACCACAGGAGGAACUUGGGUCCUCUGGGAAGAUGGAGUUGAUCUAGGUAAAACACAGAUGACGGUGAUCUUCUGCUUUCCUCAGCUUCGAUGGUCCUCUUGCCUCUCGCAGACCACACAAACCAAACAAACACAAGCUGCCUCUAGGGAGGACAACACUAAGGGAAGGGUGACUUCUCCUUGAAUAGACUGGUUAUCUCCGGGCAGAUCAGCCUGAGUUCAGGUGAUCCUUUCCCGCCUUUGAGGGUUACCAGGUAAACUAAGCCCACAGGGCAACCAAUUAGAAAAAUCAUACUACAAAAAGGAUGCCUGUGAUGUUGCACCCCAUAAUGCUUUAUAGAAAUAUGCUUCUAAGUGUA